GACGAACGCUGGCGGCGUGCUUGACACAUGCAAGUCGAACGGAAAGGCCCUGCUUUUGUGGGGUGCUCGAGUGGCGAACGGGUGAGUAACACGUGAGUAACCUGCCCUUGACUUUGGGAUAACUUCAGGAAACUGGGGCUAAUACCGGAUAGGAGCUCCUGCUGCAUGGUGGGGGUUGGAAAGUUUCGGCGGUUGGGGAUGGACUCGCGGCUUAUCAGCUUGUUGGUGGGGUAGUGGCUUACCAAGGCUUUGACGGGUAGCCGGCCUGAGAGGGUGACCGGCCACAUUGGGACUGAGAUACGGCCCAGACUCCUACGGGAGGCAGCAGUGGGGAAUAUUGCACAAUGGGCGGAAGCCUGAUGCAGCAACGCCGCGUGCGGGAUGACGGCCUUCGGGUUGCAAACCGCUUUCGCCUGUGACGAAGCGUGAGUGACGGUAAUGGGUAAAGAAGCACCGGCUAACUACGUGCCAGCAGCCGCGGUGAUACGUAGGGUGCGAGCGUUGUCCGGAUUUAUUGGGCGUAAAGGGCUCGUAGGUGGUUGAUCGCGUCGGAAGUGUAAUCUUGGGGCUUAACCCUGAGCGUGCUUUCGAUACGGGUUGACUUGAGGAAGGUAGGGGAGAAUGGAAUUCCUGGUGGAGCGGUGGAAUGCGCAGAUAUCAGGAGGAACACCAGUGGCGAAGGCGGUUCUCUGGGCCUUUCCUGACGCUGAGGAGCGAAAGCGUGGGGAGCGAACAGGCUUAGAUACCCUGGUAGUCCGCGCUGUAAACGGUGGGUACUAGGUGUGGGGUCCAUUCCACGGGUUCCGUGCCGUAGCUAACGCUUUAAGUACCCCGCCUGGGGAGUACGGCCGCAAGGCUAAAACUCAAAGGAAUUGACGGGGCCCCGCACAAGCGGCGGAGCAUGCGGAUUAAUUCGAUGCAACGCGUAGAACCUUACCUGGGUUUGACAUGGAUCGGGAGUGCUCAGAGAUGGGUGUGCCUCUUUUGGGGUCGGUUCACAGGUGGUGCAUGGCUGUCGUCAGCUCGUGUCGUGAGAUGUUGGGUUAAGUCCCGCAACGAGCGCAACCCUUGUUCACUGUUGCCAGCACGUUAUGGUGGGGACUCAGUGGAGACCGCCGGGGUCAACUCGGAGGAAGGUGGGGAUGACGUCGAGUCAUCAUGCCCCUUAUGUCCAGGGCUUCACGCAUGCUACAAUGGCUGGUACAGAGAGUGGCGAGCCUGUGAGGGUGAGCGAAUCUCGGAAAGCCGGUCUCAGUUCGGAUUGGGGUCUGCAACUCGACCUCAUGAAGUCGGAGUCGCUAGUAAUCGCAGAUCAGCAACGCUGCGGUGAAUACGUUCCCGGG
rnacentral:rRNA from 1 species